rnacentral:lncRNA from 1 species
GUUUGAUUUUAGAUUGGCUCCUACCCUAAAAGAUUGGCUUUAAAAAGAUCUCAGAGUUGGGUGGGGGAGAGCAAACUGCCUCCUUUAGCUCCCAAAUGCAGUCAUUUUAGCCGGCAAAUAAAUUAAGGGUAACAGUAAUAAUAGGAAUUAACAACAGCUAAUUAAAAUGAGGUAAGUUGCCAAUUAUGCAAUGGUGUCUGAACUCCAGAGUCAAUGGGAGAUAUUUGCAGAUGUGAAUUUGAGCUGCACACAGUGUCUGGGGCCCAAGCCAUUGCAUUUUGGUAAUGAAAAUACCCUGGCUGCCUCUGUGUGGACUUUUGGAACGUGGCAGAUGCCAAACUAGAAAAUGUUUACUGAUAGCUUGAAAAUAGGGGCCUCUAGACCUGUAAAUAGUUGCAUUUUUUUCUUUUAGAGAAGUGUCCCCUUUAUUCAUUAAAUAUUGCUAAGAUAAAAGAGAAAGAAACUUAACAGGGAGAUUGUUCUCCUUUCUUCCACUGAAGACAAAUCGAGGAUGCCAUCGUUCCCUGGAUGGGAACCCUUUUGGAGUACACAGGGAGCUGGAGUCCCUGUUCUCUGCAGAGGAAUUUUGAGGAGGAGUGGUGAGAAGACCUGGCCUGACACACUCCUCUGACCAGUUGAAGGGGUGUGGGAGCUUGUGUCCCUCUGCUCUGGCCUCUGUAGACCCUAUAUUCCAGAGGCAUCAGUUUUCAGUUUUCUCUGGGCAGGGUAGUGUGAUUUUUUUUUAUUAAAGCCUCACUACAUCCUUCCGAGAUUGUGUGCUCUUAUUACACCUGCCUUACAGAUGGGGAAAUUGAGGCACAAGCUGUUGAAUAACUUGCUCCAGGUCCCAUAGUCAGUAAAGGGCUCUUGAAGAGAAGGAGGAGACAAGAUGAGCUUAAUUAGCUUUAACCUGAGAUGUGAGCAAGACACGGUAAUCAUAAUUACAGCGCAUGAUAUCAGAGCCCAUUGUGUGGACAGAUGCUUCUGAGGACUACAGAAGUAGAGGGAACAGGUACGAUAAUUCCCAGGUCAUUCCCAUCAUGCAGACCAAAAGCAGUGCUCAGGGAGGCUCCUGGCUGCAGAGCGUGAGGUGUGUACUUGGAUCUGCUC